AACGCCAUAUGUAUUGUACCGCAUAAUAAUAAAUUGUUAACAAUCAUUUAUUUUCUAUUCCCUGAUCGUGCCGAUUUUGUUAAUCGAAGUAAUAAAACUAUACAUAAAAGAUAGAAAACAAAAUCAGCACUCAUUGGAUGUCACGUGAAAACUGUUUACCUUAUAAAUAUUAUUAUUAUUCGUUCAUAUUUAUCGUGCAUAAUUGUAAUAUAUUGAGUUUGAUAACUAAAUCUUAUUUAACGAAAUAUCAAUCAUUUUAAUAGCAAAAACAUUUUUUUAUCGAACACAUAAAAUAGAAUUAACGCUUUAUAUUUGCUAUUUUAUUUCGCGCCAAUUCCCGUAACAAUAAUGACGAACAAAGCGUUCAUACAAAUGCGUUUCACGACAAUUAAUUAAUUAAACUAUUCGUAUUAGUAUUGACUUUAGAAUUCGGCAGUGGAAAUUCCAUAUUUUAUACGUAAUUUUAUACGUAUGUGUUAAAAUUCAAUGUUUUAAAAAAUAAAAUGAUCAUUUAAUAAUAUUCAUAUAGAAAAUUACGAAAUUACAAAUCACAAAACAAACAGAAAAAAUAAACAAUUAAAAAACUUAUGAUAUGCAAACACAUUCAUAUUUAUAUACGUAUAAUUUUUAAUAGUAUACGAAGAGAAAAAGAUUUUUUAUUGAUUUUGAAUCGAAUCUGCUUUUGUAAAAUUGAAUUUUAUAGAAAAUUUGCUUGAUCACCCUCUUAACCUCAAAAAGCGCGGGAAUCAUGUCUUUAAUAUAUGGAACAAAAUAUUGAUCUAUCAAAGUAUAGUAAGCCCGAGAAAGUAAAAUCACUUCUAUAUCGCGUUCAUUGUUUUAGAAUUUUCUUAUCUAAAUAUCUUCUACUAUUUUAAUAUUUAUCGAACAUUUUUCAUAAACAUUUUGAUCACAUUGACUGUCACUGAUAGAUCAUUUUUCACAAAUAGCUUCUAUUUAUCUCACAUAUCACUUCUUUCCUUGAAAAAAUUGUUCAAUCUAACACAGAAAACGCGUUUUAUAAUGAGCAAAAGGGAAAGAAAAGAAGAAAAUCAAUAUUAAUAUAUGAUUACAAACGUUGUCAAUUCUUUUCCUAUGUAAAACCGAUUGUCUCGUUUUCUCUUUAAAAUUUCAAAUAUGAAUAUAUUCGCCAAUAUAUUAAUAUUUUGUUAACUAACUUCAAAACGGACGGUCAUUCAUAAAAAAAGAGAAGAGAAAAAAGAAAAAAGAAAAAAAAAAAAAUAAAAAAAUCAUUUGGUAUAUUAUUACAUAAUAAUAUCGAGAGUAACAGCAUCGAUAGAGUUUCGAUAAUAUUAUCGAUUUAAAUCGAGAUUUAAAAUUCGACUUUCAAAAGCGCCAUCGAUCGAAUAUAAGUGUAACGAAUAAGUGUAACGAAGUGUUUCUAAAAAAAUUUUUUAAAUUAUUAUAUAUUGUUACGGCUCGCGAAUUUCCCUGAUAUUUCGUUUCAUUAUUAUAUCUUUUUUUUCUAAUUUACAAUCUAAUUUAUCAGUUGAAUCGCAUGAGUUUAUCAUUUAAUGAUAUUAACUCAGCAAAAUGCAACUUAACCUGAUCAUACCUUUGUGCUCACUAGGAUGAACAUUCUCAGAUGAGUUUCUUCCAUCCACAAUUCGUCGAUUUCCAUUUAAGUCACACGAUGGAUCAUGUAAGUCUUUACAUCACUAUGAAGUCGUCACAAUUAAGUAAAAGUGCAUAAAUAAGCGCAAUCAAAAACCACAGAAAGAAAUGGUAAAAAUAAAUUGAAUAAAUCACUGUCAGUAUGCUAACUGUGGUAUCACGAAAAUAUCUUCAGAGUUGAUUCCAAUGGAUUGCUCACAAGUAUCAAUCGUUUUUCUUAAAAUGUGAUAUGCGAAAAACGUAAUUAUAUGAUCUAUCAUAAGAUCCAAGUCGAGGAGGAUAAUGUGUAUGAGAAAGUCGUCGAAGCACCCACACAAAACUCUUUAUGAUCGCACAAUUUCAUCAAAAAAAUUCUGUUUCACAUCCUCGAACGAUAUCAAACUGACAUAACCAUACAUAUAGCUCAGUGA